rnacentral:rRNA from 1 species
UGCUUGAGUGGCGAACGGGUGAGUAACACGUGGGUGAUCUGCCCUGCACUUCGGGAUAAGCUUGGGAAACUGGGUCUAAUACCGGAUAGGACCAUCGUUUAGUGUCGGUGGUGGAAAGUUUUUUCGGUGUGGGAUGAGCUCGCGGCCUAUCAGCUUGUUGGUGGGGUAAUGGCCUACCAAGGCGUCGACGGGUAGCCGGCCUGAGAGGGUGUACGGCCACAUUGGGACUGAGAUACGGCCCAG